AUGAAAACCCAAAAAGCAAUCAGCUCCCUGAGCCUAUCCAAGCACGCGAGCAGAACAUCAACACAAGGAUGGCUCUCGUCAAUGGCGAGGGGGCGCGCCAUCAAGGUCUGGGAGGCGCGGCGGCGGCGGUCGUCCGGGUCUGGAAGGCGCCAGCGGCGGUCGUCCGGGUCUGGAAGGCGGCGGCGGCGGUCGUCCGGGUCUGGGAGGCGCCGGCCGCGGUCGUCCGGGUCUGGGAGGCGGCGGCGGCUUCCGAGUCUGGGAGGCGACGGCGGGCGGUCGUCGGGGUGCCAGACCAUUGGUGGCCACGCCGGCAAGGCGGGGGCGCGCCAUAGGGCACUAGGAGGCGGUGGAGAGCGAUUGGCGCGACGUCCUUGGCGCUCGUCGAUGGCGGCGGCAUCCACGACGCGACGUCCUUGGCGCUCGUCGAUGGCGAUGGCCGCGCUCAUCCACGGCGCGACGUACAUGGUCGAUCCAGGCGGCCUGUAG
rnacentral:rRNA from 1 species